UACGUAGGGAGCAAGCGUUGUCCGGAAUCAUUGGGCGUAAAGCGCGUGUAGGCGGUUUUAUAAGUCUGCUGUGAAAGUCGGAGGCUCAACCUUCGAAUGCCAGUAGAUACUGUAAGACUUGAGUACGGAAGAGGAGAGUGGAAUUCCUGGUGUAGCGGUGAAAUGCGCAGAUAUCAGGAGGAACACCAACGGCGAAGGCAGCUCUCUGGGACGUUACUGACGCUGAGACGCGAAAGCGUGGGGAGCAAACAGG
rnacentral:rRNA from 1 species